rnacentral:rRNA from 1 species
UACGAAGGGUGCAAACGUUGCUCGGAAUUAUUGGGCGUAAAGCGCACGUAGGCGGCUUAGCAAGUCGGAAGUGAAAUCCCUCGGCUCAACCAAGGAAGUGCUUUCGAAACUGCUGAGCUUGAGUACGAAAAGAGGAUCGCGGAAUUCCCCGGUGUAGAGGUGAAAUUCGUAGAUAUCGGGGAGGAACAUCAGUGGCGAAAGCGGCUUCCUGGACCAGCACCGACGUUCAGGCACGAAAGCGUGGGGAGCAAACAGG